UACGUAGGGUGCAAGCGUUAAUCGGAAUUACUGGGCGUAAAGCGUGCGCAGGCGGUUUUGUAAGUCUGUCGUGAAAUCCCCGGGCUCAACCUGGGAAUUGCGAUGGAGACUGCAAGGCUAGAAUCUGGCAGAGGGGGGUAGAAUUCCACGUGUGAGCAGUGAAAUGCGUAGAGAUGUGGAGGAACACCGAUGGCGAAGGCAGCCCCCUGGGUCAAGAUUGACGCUCAUGCACGAAAGCGUGGGGACAAACACGG
rnacentral:rRNA from 1 species